GGGGAUCUGCCUAGUGGUACGGAACAACACAGGGAAACUUGUGCUAAUGCCGUAUAAGUCCUUCGGGAGAAAGAUUUAUCGCCAUUAGAUGAACCCGCGUCUGAUUAGCUAGUUGGUGAGGUAAUGGCUCACCAAGGCGACGAUCAGUAGCUGGUCUGAGAGGAUGAUCAGCCACACUGGGACUGAGACACGGCCCAGACUCCUACGGGAGGCAGCAGUGGGGAAUAUUGGACAAUGGGCGAAAGCCUGAUCCAGCCAUGCCGCGUGAGUGAUGAAGGCCUUAGGGUUGUAAAGCUCUUUCGUUGGGGAAGAUAAUGACGGUACCCAAAGAAGAAGCCCCGGCUAACUUCGUGCCAGCAGCCGCGGUAAUACGAAGGGGGCUAGCGUUGUUCGGAAUUACUGGGCGUAAAGCGCGCGUAGGCGGACCAUCAAGUCGGGGGUGAAAUCCUGGAGCUUAACUCCAGAACUGCCUUCGAUACUGUUGGUCUUGAGGUCGGGAGAGGUGAGUGGAACUGCGAGU
rnacentral:rRNA from 1 species